rnacentral:rRNA from 1 species
UGGGGAAUAUUGGACAAUGGAGGCAACUCUGAUCCAGCAAUUCUGUGUGUGUGAAGAAGGUUUUAGGACUGUAAAACACUUUUAGUAGGGAAGAAAAAAAUGACGGUACCUACAGAAGAAGCGACGGCUAAAUACGUGCCAGCAGCCGCGGUAAUACGUAUGUCGCGAGCGUUAUCCGGAAUUAUUGGGCUUAAAGGGCAUCUAGGCGGUUAAACAAGUUGAAGGUGAAAACCUGUGGCUCAACCAUAGGCUUGCCUACAAAACUGUAUAACUAGAGUACUGGAAAGGUGGGUGGAACUACACGAGUAGAGGUGAAAUUCGUAGAUAUGUGUAGGAAUGCCGAUGAUGAAGAUAACUCACUGGACAGAAACUGACGCUGAAGUGCGAAAGCUAGGGGAGCAAACAGG